ensembl:lncRNA
GUCUAUUAAACCAACAAACCAACACAAGGAGAGUGCCACCUCUCAGCGAGCGCUGAGCAAGGAGAAGGAGAAGGCUGCGUCUGACAGGCUGCUCGUUGUGAAAUGUUUGUGCCACUCCUAGUAUUAUUAUUAGUCUCUUGUUGUACAUUUCCGAAGCAAUUAACUCCUUAAUCCUCACAAGGCUCAGGGGAGGUAAGGCAGUCACUGCUCAUUAAGGGAAAUGGUUGUCAGUGGGGCCAAAUGUUGGGCUGCAGGAGGUUGACAGAGAGGAAGAUGCUCCAUCAGGAGACAGAAGUUCUUCCCUCCUUGGCUGCAUCCAGGAGAUCAAAGCAGUCUGGCUUCUUAAUGUGAGGAAUUUCAGGCAUCUCUGCAUGGGGAAGGAGCUCAGAAAUGGCAGAUGUACCUUGCUGCUCUGGGGAGUGCAAUGAAAACCCGGUGAAUGUAGGUGCUAGCAAAGCUCUGCUGGCGUGUGAGAUGUUCAGGAGAGUCCCAGCCAGCAGCCCCAGUGGAUGGAGAAUGGGGGAAAGAGCAGCCUGGGCUGGCUGCAAAGACUAAAGCUUUGAGAGCUGAGGAGCAGAAGCCAUACAGCUUCUACUACUUCUUCCACUAGCUCCUCUGGGCUAGUGGAGUGGUUGUAGGCAACCUUGAUAUGAAAGAGCAGCAAGAACUUGCAAGCCAAAUGUUUUUCAUUAGUGGUUAAUUUUCUUGGUGUGAGGGAUAAAAGCAUAGAAAAAGCUCAAGCAGCUCCCAGCAUUUGAGGGGAAGGAGGGGAAUGACUGCAGAGGAUCACCCUCUCCCUAGGCAGUGACUGGAGCUUGGCACGUCCUGGCAGCGGGGAAAGAGGGAACUGCAGGGCCUGUGCUGAGCUUGGCACCAAGUCUGAGAGUCUGCUCCCAACCUCGAAAAAAGGAGUUUAGGGAUGGAGCACAGACGGAACGCCAGCAACAUGUAGACACAGCAGGGUGGGGGCAGAGCAGUGGGAGAGCUUUAACAAGGGAUGGGGAGAUGGGAUUUGAAACCAAGGCAGAUAUGUCAGAACAUCUCUGGGGAGUGAGCUGGGGAGAAGAGCUGAAAGGGUCAGCAUUUAGAGGGUAGUACUCUGGUGAGUGCUCCCAGGGCUGAGGAGUGAGCUGAUAUAGGAUAGUGUCCCCCUCCUAACAGCCAAAAGGUGGUGAAGCAUAUCUUUGCAGCGCUCCUCUUCCAAUAUGUUGGGAGCUGUGCUGACCUUCCAGCAUCUCCCCAAGGCUACAAAGGUUGAGUCCUCCCAAACAGCUAAGCAACAUUGUGUUUCAUGGUGCCUUUGCAUCCAGCUGUUGGCACGCUCAGGCAGAUUCCCUGCUUUGGGAUCCAUCCACUUGAAGACUUCACUGUAUGGUUUUGUCUGCUCUUCUGAGCACUUGGAUUUUUUGGAGGGCAAGGUGGCAGCCCCAGAAACAAGGGGGAAGGGCCAGCCCUUCCAACCACAGCACGCCAGCCUCAAUCAAGCCCCGCUGGCAGCUGCAAGCUGUGACAGACUGUAAAUCUGAGGGCUGGAGCAGGAGAACAGCUGGGUGGCCAUCAGAGAGGGCUGGGAGGGGAACAAUGGUGGGGGGAGAAGCUGGGAGCCAUCAGGGGCACUGCCUGGCGUUGGAUCAGUCCUAGGAACUGGCAGUGUUCAGCGGAUGCUUAUCCGCUCUGCUGGCAGUCCCCAGCCACCAGCUUCCUUUGACAGCUGAAGGGGGAAAAAGGUUACUUGAUCCCAGACCUGAAGGAGCUGAUGUGAAACACAACUUUAGUUUGUUUCUGAACCGCUUUAAAAUCCAAAGGGGCGAAAUAGGAGAGGGAAACGUAAUUAAAUACACAUAAAAUAUUCACUCUACACAAUGUACACUUAAUUAAUUCCUGUCCCCUUUACAAACAGAUUAUCUUUUGAUUUUCUGCUUUCCUAAGGUUGCCAUUUCAAAUGACUUGGAGAAGGGAUUUUAGCCUCCCAAUAUCACACCAGGACACGUGUUAUCAUCACAUACGUGUGGCUCCUUCUGCUGGAAGCUCCCCCAGCCUGCCAGGUAGCUGUGCAUCCCCUCAUACGGAUGAACCUGAGAGCCUCAGCUUUUGCUGCAGAUCUGUGUCUGGGAACUGAAUCCCAAUCCAAAGACCCCGAAUGCCUUAGCUGUAAAAGUCUCGCUGUGAAAUCCUUUGUUUGAGCUGCCUCUUCAGUCGUGUGGUGCUGCUUCUGGAUUCGAUGGACCACCCUAGAGCACAUUUCCUCCUCAACCCCAAAGUGAAUGCAUCAUUUAAUUACUGUCAGUGCACAAACCCUAUUCACUUGCUUGCCAGGGUCGCAAACCUUCCAACAGAAAUGCUCAUAAUUUGCAGAGAACACAAUGCCUGGUUGAAAUUGAAUUCACAGUCGGGAAAAAAAACAGUCUUCUGAUGAUUGACCAUUUGUAUCACAGCUGUCUUAAGGGUGAGGGAGAUGAGAGACCAGCCAUGCUGCACACUUGGAAUAGGAAACCGUCCCUGGCUCAAAGCUCUAUUGUUUGGGCAGGGUCCCACCAGAGGAAGCCCUCUGCACGCCCUGCCUGUAUGAUGUGAACGGAGGCAUAAAGAAAGUGACUUUUCCAGCACUGUGCUUCAAAUCCAGAUGAUUCAAAUGCAAAACUGAAAACCCCUGAGCCUCACCCCAGUGCCUGACCUGCAGGACGGCCUGCCUCUCUGAUUUUCCCAAACGUUUAGGCUGGAUAAAGCAUACAGUGUAAGCCAAGAGUCCAAGGAAACCUCUCUUGCACAGGCCACGUUCUGUAGAUCCAGACACCGGAGUAAUGAGAACAUGCAGAAAUGUCUUCUACCACCAGAGCAUGCAUCUUCGUCCUUGGUCCUAAAUGCUCUGAUUGACUUUUAAUUAGCAGCAUGUGUCCCAUGAGACUGGCAAGAUGUCUCUAAAUUCACCUCUAUCUUAAUUGCAUCAGGAAGCUGCCUUCUGGGGCUGCUCAGCUCCCAGUCCCUGGCACACGUCGUACUAAUGGAGCGAAGCUGCAGCUGGCAGCCCUUCCUGGGUGCUUGCUGGGCAUUUAAUCUCACCAGCCUCCACAGAGCAAGUGCUUCACGCGGGAGUGCAGAACCAUUCAGAAGUUGUGAUGUCAGAAGAUGAGCUGUCCCACUGAGCCAGAUCAGAACCGGGGAGACAACGUGAUGCAAGAGGGGUUCAUCUACACAGAGCAGUGGGAAAGAGCGGGGGAAAGAAUGGGAAGUUUGCAUAAGGAGCACCCACAGGGUGAAGCUCAGGUUGGCUUUGCCAUAGGAAAAUCGCACUCUAUGAUUUCAAAUUAUUUUGAUUCCAGUUCAGAUUCUGUGUGGGUGGAGGUGUAUGUAAAUAGGAAUGCGAGCAUGUGUACGCACAGAGCAAAGCCAGCCAGAAACCUCCACAACCAGUUUGCUUCCACCACACGUGCUCCUGGCUCUGGAGAUAGACACAACCCUGGCAAUGAGCAGCCACGCUUUGCCAGUGCACCCCAUCCUGCCAUCCCUCACGCCAGCUGGGGAUGUGACACACAGAGCUGUGGGGCCAGAGCACAUCCCUUCCCCACUCACCCCUCUCUCCAGGUUGGAGAACAGGCUCCCAGUGCAUGGCUGCCUGUUCAUCACGCCGUAACCCUACCACUGUGGGGAUCGUGCAGAGGGGCUGUGCUGGGAGAGGCUGAGCUGGAACCAGCAGUGGAGCUGAGCCAACCCCUGGCCUUACCUUCCUGACGAUUACUUAUUCUAUCUCCUCCUGGGGGGCAGGUUCCACCCACGACUUGCCUUCCCUCCCACUAAAGGUUUGAUUCCCACCACAAAAGCGCAGCCCCUCAGAGCAGGCUGCUUUCUUAAGCCACCCUUUUGUUUUCGUUCGUGUGUUUUUCAGGGUGGCUGUAGGGUUCCCUCUUGAGAUUUGGGAGCUCAGCGCUCUCCUAAUGGCAAACUGUGUCUCCCAGGCCCCAUUCCCAGCCCACCUAAGUGCGUAGGUCUCUACUAGUUCUGUUUUAGCUGCUCAGAGGCUGACAGAACACGAUGAAACAGGACAGAGCUUGAUAGAGAAUAUAUUUCUCCAGAGGAGAGAGGGAACCGCAGACGCCUGCCCUUCUAUUCCUGUUUACCUUUGCUUUCAGGAGGUCAAUUGAAUUGUGGGCAUAAACUUACACUGCGGUUUGCAAACUGAUACUCUCCAGAAGUGCGUUCUGGCGUCACAGAACAUUUUGUGUUUCGGUUUCUUCUUUCCUUGCUCUUUUAUGGCCGCAUAAUAACUUGCAACAUAUGUAUCUCAGAAACACUUGUUUACACAACAUUUUCAAAGCAUCACAAUUAACAUCACUUUGUGGAGUUCCCGUGGAGGCAUCCCUCGCGCGGUAAUGACCGGCAACUUCUUUCAUACUUGGGCUUCUUCAGCUCCUUCUGUAUGCUCCGUCUGCAGGACUCCUCCAGAAGCACAGAACAGUUUUUAGUCUUCCGCUGCGUGAGUGCUGAGAAGCGUGAGUGGAAGGCAGGGGCCGGAUUUUGUGCGGCACACCUUCAUGAGGCCCCUCUAUCCAUUUGGUAGCGCUAUUCCUUUCACGUUGCGUGUGGCCGCCCCAUGACCACCCUGCGGAGCUCAGUGUGGGAAGAACAUACCCACAUGGCUCCAACAAGGCUCUAGGCAGACUUCUGGAGAAGGCUCUCACUGCUAAACACAAUGGUCCAGCCAAAACUCCGUCUUCGGACACGUCUGAGGCUAGGGGCCCAUAGUGGGGAAAGAUCAUUCUGCAAAGGUCCGACUUUUAUGCUGUACCCCUGAACUCAACGCUUGUAGUUGUUGUCAAAGUCAGGAGAAUGAACAAGGUGGACUUUUGAUCUGACCUAAUGUAGCACUUGGUUUAAAUUUACAUUGGCUCAGCAUCAAGCCUAGUUUCUGACAUAGCGUGUUAUGCAAUCCAUGUGCUCAUUCCUCAUGUUGUCCCCACCAUCCCACAGAGGUUAGCGAGUUUGCAUCCCAGGGAAAGAGAGAGUGCUUCUGCCUGCAGUCACGUUUGCCCUGCCAGGCCUUGCCCAAGCCUGCUCCGGAGCUUUUGCUCACAGAACCGCUUACACAAAUUUCCAAGAAAGUGCUUAAAUUCCACUGACCUUAACAAAUAUCCUGGAGUGAGGUUUUACCAGCUCUACCCAAGCAGUAUGACGGCUCUCCUCAUUUUCUCAUUUAUCUUCUGUUUUUUUUUUCUUUUAUCUACAAUCAGAUGGGCAGCAGGAUCUAACACAACUGCUUUAGGCUCUCCCAUCCUACCAGGAAAAAACCCAGAGGCUCAGUGCUGGUGCAGAGCAGAGGAGCUGCUACCUUAGGGCCACAGCUCAGAAGGAGAUCUCUCUGCCACAGGCUGGCCUAGGAGGUAAGAGUCAGUAGGCUCAUGAAAAGCUGCCCUAAAAAUACAGAUAUCCAGCUCUUCAAGUCCCCUUUCAUCAGGUUCUGAAGGCAAAGGCAGCUGCUGGGGGACUGAUCAGGUGGGAGCAUUUAGGGCUGCAGGGAUUUCUGUUCACUCAUCAUCCAGGCAAUGCUGAAGAGCUGUAUUGUUGCAUUUGGUGGCAAGUUGGUAUUUUUAUCUUCUUGAGAUCCCUCCAACACUCCCAGAUUUCCCAGAUCUGGAGCUUGACACACUCUUGCCCACCUAUAAUAAUGAAAGGAAGAUGCACAAUGAUACGAGAAGGAUGUGUAAUUAGAUAAGGAAGAUAUAAGGGGAUGAAAGUGAUGCAAAUACCUGCUGGACAAGAAGGAACUUGAGGACUCUUGAGGAGACAACCUGAGAUGCUCAGUGAUGAGGGAUUCCAGUUGCAGGACACAGCCCGGGAUGAUGAACACAUGUUAAUGCAGCCUGAAGCACUUGUGGACUUCACAGCGUUCUAAGAUGUCUGUAGAAAUGCCUGGGGAGGAUAAGUGACUGCAGCUUUACAGAAGAUCACGCCGGUGUUCCUCUUCCAACAAAAACACCCCCAUGUCUACUUUGAAACUGGAAUUGAACUAAUCUUCCUUUAAGCUGUUUUACAUUUUGUCCAGCUUGGGCACCAGCAGGAAACCCAUCUGUGCUGAUGAGGUGCUGCUCCAACGACCAGAGCUGCAGCAGCAUCCAAAGGUGAGGCCUUAUCUCAGCCUCUGUGCUGCCAACUUGCACAACACACUAAAGCAUACCAUGCUACCACACACCAGGGUCAUCUGUGCAGGUGACAGACACUAUUCACACAGCACCGCUCUGCUCAGGCUCUGACCAAGCCGUGCAAAUGCUCCUGCAAACAAAGGAGAUGGGGCUGAAUCAGCUGAGUACGGAGACAAAAGGGUGAUGGGAUCAGAGAGGAAAGAAAGAGGUUUUUUUAGGAUCACAGAACAGGUCAGCAGCAUUAGGUAACAUAAUGCUGGACUGAAUAUCCAAGUGUGGAUCCUUCCUGUAGGACUCCUCCUGUACAUAAGAUAGUCCACUUCAGCAGGUUCUGUUAGGAAAAUAUUUAUGGAGAUGCUCUCUGCUUUCAUUCAAGUUCACAGAGACAUCAAAAGUGCUGCAGCUGUGUAUUACUGGAGCUGAAAAACAGCAGCAGACAGUGUAGAAUGAGGUGAUGGGUUUAACUCAAAAAACUGUUUUUUGAGUCCCACUUCUAGGAAAAAACGAAAUGUUUGUGUAAUCCUAUAAACUAUUAAACCUUCUAUCAUCGUUACACUGCUCCUCCAUCAUUACACUCCCCUCUGUACCAGACGGGAAGGCCGCAAGACCAUCUUCCAAUCUGAUUUUUGAUAAGGCUCUUUAAGACCCUCCGUAAGUCUUGUCAGAAAAGGUAUUUGGCAUUAAAAAACGCUUAGGUGAGAGUGCCUGGAAUGCAGGGCAGUGCCUUAUGGAAAGAGCUGCCUGCACUUCCUGCAGGGCUCAGGCCACGUCCUGCUGCCUCUGCCAAGGCGAUGCCAGAAACUGGGGCACCCUGGGGCAUGAAGCAAACAUCAAAUUCCAAAAAACAAAAAUACCAUAUGAAUAUAUAUAUAUAUAUACAUAUAUAUAUAUAUAUAUCCCACUUUUCUUCCAUUUUUCCUUCCACUAAACUAACGAUCUGAAACACUGCAAAAGGAUGGGUAGAUUUUGCUCGGCUUAUUUGCACUGGGUGAACUUCUCCCUGGCAGAAGGCUGCUUCACAUCAGAGUCAUUGUUUCAUGGACAGAUGUAAAUCACAGCCUGGCUGGCAGGAGAAGUUCAGACAGCUAAGAUGGCAGGAAUCCAUUGCUUUCAGCCAUUCUCUCAGAAAGCUUUUCCUCUAUUUUUUUUUUCUGAUGGAUUGUAAGUUGGUUUUUCUGCUCUUCUUUUUUUUCCUUUAUUUAAUAUAUAAUUAACUUAAUCAAAUCUCUUUUUUUUUUUUUUUCUUUUUUAAAGGAAGGAGCCCAGAGAUAGUCUGCAGCCCCUCCCAAGCGCCUUUCUGUCUGGGAGGAACUCAAGAUCCAAAUAUUGAAUGUUCCACUCUGGCACACUGAAAUACACACAAAUAUCAACUGUGGUGCAAGUGAAAUGCUUUGGUGAAUCACCAGACGGUGCCUGAGGCUGCUAAUAUUCGGUCACAUCCUAUUGUUACAUUAGCAGCCCUGCAAAUGAAGCAGUCUGAAACCUAUCAAGAAUUAAAAAAACCAUAAUAAGCGAUUCCAGUGCAGAUCUCCUAAAAGUAACAAAGCACACCCUAAGCUUCUCUUUCAGACCAGCUGCAUUAUUUUUAUACGCAGGUAGUCAUAACUGGACUUUUGAAGGAUUCCGUGUGUGCUCUUCUUGGAAAAGCAGUGGCUGAGCGUGUGAUGAGCUUCUGGAUUUUAAGGCUAAAGAGGGCUGUGCAGUUCAUAGCAGAGAGAAAAUCACCUCUGUAUGAAGCAGGGGCUCGGUUAUAUCCCUGCGCUGCAGAACCUUGUGCUGCUUUGGCAAGGAAGGUGAAUUAACAUAAGGGAGAGGCAUGGCUGGUGCCUGCUUGGGGCUAUCAUGUGAUGCCUAAACUUGCACCUACGUAAGAAAACCUAAGCCUGCUGAAGAAAAUGCAGAGCUGGCACAGCAAGGUGGCUGCGUGUUCAGCUCAUGCAGCUGCUGGAAGGUGAGCCAGAAAGGCAUCUUCAGAGGAGUGGGAAUGAGGUGAUACCCUCUGGGAUGUGGGUUGUCUCUUCACAAUUCACUUGCAACACCCGUGUCCCAGCCUAGCUCCUCCAAAGCACUGCUGCCUUCCUCCUGAACACUUUCCACUUCAGACUGGUGCAAGCCUAGAUCCCAUUCUGCCUGUCACAGAAUCAUAGAAUCAUAGAAGGGCUUGGAUUGUGUUAGGUUGGGUUGGGUUGGAAGGGACCUCAAAGACCAUCUAGUUCCAACCCCUUGCCAUGGGCAGGGCUGCCACCCACCAGCUCAGCUGCCCAGGGCCCCGUCCAACCUGACCUUGAGCACCUCCAGGAAUGGAGAUGUCCCCAUCAGUCAAGGGACAAGGGGUGGCAAUGUCUGCAUUAAAGCCAUCUGGGGCUGAGGGCAGCCUUCACCACUGGCCCUGCAGAGAGCGCAUCAGCAGCACCGGGGCCAGACAAUGUAUUUUUCAUUCCAAUAUUUGUUCUGUUUUAUUAAAGCACUGGCAGUAAAUACAUCAAUUAGGAAGAUACAGCAAGUGGGAAACACAAGCUGGGAUGGAGAGGUUUAACCGGCUAUAAAUAGUGGUCGGAUAAACAGUCAGCUGUGACUUAUGGGCUGCAGCACGGCGCUCAGCACCUGUUACUAGGAGACUUCUUACCAGUUUGUUUGUUUGCUUUUAAAAGAAAAACUGUUUACAAUGAUAAAGCCCAGGCUGACAGAUUUUCCGCCUUCUGGGAAAACAUUACUGCCUAACCAUCACCUGCAGGUGUUUUUCCUGCCCGUUGUGCAGUAUUUACACUGCUGCUCACGCCAGAGCUAGGCAGCGCUUUGGGCAGCCUUAGGGACCAGGAGCUUCCCCGUGCUUCAGCCCUGGGCGAAACGAAUGUGCCACCAUUCUGAGCUCAGCACUUUGUGUCCAUCUCCCAGAGAAGCAGCCAGCCUGGACACAAAGGCAUAAGGAGCCCCAGGCUCCCCCCACUCCCUUCAAUGUGUGCCAGCACGCCCCAUGCAAUGUGUCUCAUUUCUUAUUUACAUUCACCUCGCUUUAAAUUGCGGUCCCUGCUGCUUGUUACGCCUCUUUCUGCUAGAUUAAAGAGCCCUAAAAUGUCGCCCUGGCAGCGUUAUCAACUGCCCUCUGCUAUUAUUGCCUUGCAGUAAAUAAAAGGCACUUUCCAGUCAUUAUUUUAUACCCCACAAUCGCAUUGCUUUUCCAGAUAAUUAGUUUUCACUCCUCUUAUCUGUAUUCAAGCCUCACCUCCCUUUCAGUGCUUCCAUUGCCUGCUCGGGGACCUCUCCUAUCUCUCCUGUGACCUCUGGGAGAGGAGCAGAGAGGUAUCCAGGGGGGCUCAGGGAGAGGACAUCUGAUCUGCUUGUGGCCCUGUCAACCUGGUGCUGAGCACGGCCGCUGCCUUUGUGCACACCUGAUCAUGCCACUGAGCACCUGGGAAGAGGAGGUGAUGGCUUGCUGACCUGCAAAGCUGCCCCCAUUUUGGCACAGUCGGCUUGCACAAGACCUGUCAGUCUGUAUGACAUAGCAGCUAUCUGUCGGAGCUUUCGUCUCCCAGUUUGCCCAACUGCCUUUCAAUAGGAUUCUGUAUAUGAAAAUGAUUUUAUGCUAUGCACUGUUCCCUUCUGUCAUGGAGUACAUAAAAAUACUAUGGCAAAACACAUUCUCAUCAAGCUUUCUGGGGAAAAGAUAAGUGCAACAGCUAACUCAAGUGAAGGUGCUCAUUGGACUCUCCCUCUCUUUUCUAAAUUGCUGGGUUUUUUUCUUUUUGGCAAGAACCCAUCUGAGUCCCCGGUUGCUGUUUGAUAAUACAUUGGAAGCAGGAAUUAAUCUUCAGGAGGUCAGCCCAACUUCCUAUUCCAAUUUAAGAAAAUUUUAAAAUCUAAGCUAUCAAGUGUGCAUAGUUAAAAGUACAUCAGGAGCCACUGAAGGCCACUUUGGAUGACUUACUGCCAAAAUGCCCUUUAAGGGCUGCUAGGAAACUAUGUUUAGCUUUCAGAUGUAGAGUUUGAAGCUGCUGGUAUGCCUUUACAACAUAGAGGCAGCAGCACUCUUCCCAGAAUAUCCUCACCACACCAUAUUAGAAAUGGAGAUUUACUAUUUCACUUUGUUUCCUAGCUACCAACAUUUUUUUUUAGUUUAGUAGUAGAGAUGAGCAGUGAAAUCUGGCAUUCAGGCUGUGACUUCAUCAAAUCCUUUCACAAAUCUCAUACUACAUCUAUAUAUAUAUGUAUGUAUAUCGGUAGCAAUUGUAGAUUUUCUCAGGCAGUCUUUCCAGAAAUGUUUCAGUUAUUCACUUUUAUCCUGGAUGCUCACCCAUUCCUGCCCCACACCCCUUCCCCAAAGCCCCAUCUGCUAUGGGAGCACUCUCUCUCCUCUGCUCUCCCCCUUCCCAGCUCUACCAGUCCCUUUACAUUCAUCACAUUAAAGAAAACAUUUCAUGGUCAUCUCUUUUAUCUCCUUCAGUGAGCAGUUAAUCAGAAAAAAUGCUUUCAUGUUGCUAAAUCAGGGCCAGUGGGCAAAGCCAGGCUGACAAGAGACAUUUUCCUCUGCCACUAACCUGGGCUAAAUAGUAUUAAUUACAGAGGCUGGGCUUUGAUUGCUGGAGUGUGGUGGGGCUGCAAGAACUCUCUGCUGCCCCUCCACCUAGGCCCUUGCUGCAUAUCUCCACCGACACUGGGAAGGAAUCGAUGGGAGCUGGAUGUGGCUGAAAGGCAUCAUUUGGACCCGGAGCUGUGCCCCUCUCUGGGCUGGCAGCCACAUCCCCCAAGUGAGAGUCACCUCCCAUCAAACACCAGCAAGCAGCUGGUUGUGUAUAUCAAAAUGUGGUGGAUGCCCUGUUCCUGGAGACACUCAAGGUCAGGCUGGACGGGGCUCUGAGAACCCUGAUGUCGCUGUAGGUGUCCCUGUUCAUUGCAGGGGAGUUGGACCAGCUGUCCUCCAAGGUCUUUUUCAACUCAAAUGACUCCAUGAGUGUGUGAUUCUAUGAAAACAGGCCAAAGAUCCAGAUGCAUGAAUCACCCUGAGCUCUCCACUGCAUGGCCGCAACAUGGCUGCUUUUUGGACUCUGACCACCACUGACCGCUUUCCCUGCUCUACUCCCAGCUCAGCAGAGGUUUAUGAAAGAGACAACAGGAGGAAUGUGCAUGGUGGUCAGAGAUCUUCCCUUGGGAGGGGUGGCACAGAGCAGGGCUGGAGUCCAGCCACGGUUUAAGCCAGUUGAGGUGGCCAUCCCUUGUGACUGUGGUGAUGCGCUCUGCGGCCUUGCCGCUGGUGGGCAGCAUGGCAAGCACAGCGCUCUGGGCAGCUCCAGGCUCCCUACAAAAUCUGGCCAGACCAACAUUGUGAAAUGCUUUUUUCUUUGUUUUGACUGCUUAGUGCUGUGUAUCAAGGCCUGCUGCUCCCAGUGUGAGUAUAGCUGCAUUUCUACCACAUAAAUACUGUUGGUAUGAACUCAACUCCGUGCCCUGUGCAAGUCCAAGUCAUUUCUUCUCACUCCAUGGUAUUGCAGAUCCCAGGUCCUUCUUUUUCCUCUAUGCUGCAGGUUUCCAUAGCUCAUCCUGCCCUUCAAGGUGAUAGUUUAUUCUACCCUGCACAUGCACAGACUGAAGCAGCAGCAGUAGUUCAGCUCUAUUUUUUCCCAGUCUACUUCUCCUAUGUGCUCUUCUCAAGGAGGCAUGGACCCACUCUUCCCAAACACCAGCCAGAUGCUGGGUUCUCCAUUGGGCACAGCCUCAGAAGGCCGCCUGCAUGACCUGACGGCUUAGCUCCAUUUGAAGAACUGGGAAACCACACAGAGUGGUCAGGGCCAAGCAACCAAAGACAGCAAAACCUUCUUCUAUCAGUAGUUUUCACAGACAAGAUGCUUAAGGCAGGUCUAAUUGCAGUUCUUUGUGAAUGGGGCCCUUGGGACUAUCUGGACCUCUAGGGCAGAAGUCUCAAUUUGGGUUCGAGUCAAGACUUGUCCAUAGUUGCAUCUACCUUCAAAUUAAAGUGCAGCACUUGUGGGAAGAAAGAAGUAAGUAACAGAACCAGCCCCCAUUCUGUUAUUUUUGAUACUCAGCUGUAUUUCCCACUGGCAGCGGUGUAUUUACAGGAGGCUGCAGUUGCAUGUGUUGUCCUGGAAGGGCUGUUGGGGAGGCACAAAUUGGCAGCCUGAUGGCUAGGAGAGAGCAAGUGUCAAGCAGGGCAGUAAAGAGCCUAGGGGGUGAGCAUGUUCUCUGGCUGAAAGUUGCAGCCAACAUCCAACAGUGAAGAAAACUAAGGUUUGAGUUGCCAUUGAGUUUAGAGUUAAUGGCCUAUUGAUAGGAAUGACAGUUCAGAGCCUGUUGUUGCAGCAUACUUCAGGCCACAAACAAUGCAGUUGCAUCUUUCUGUAGAAGCUUCAAAUAUUUAGGACUUUCCUCAUUCCCAGAGAGAUGUAUUUUUGUUUCUUUUUUCUUUCUCUUUUUCUUUUUUAUAGUGAAAAUAUAGAUGAUAAGAGCGGCCAGCCUGGCUCAAAUGAAGCCUCUAUCUAGCCCAGCAUUUUGUGGAGGCUGCUCUUAGUUGCUGUGUGAGAAAGGCAAGAAGCUCCUCAGCAGUGGGACAGUGUGCCUGCCAAAAGAGUUCCUCCCUUAGAAAUUGUCUCUCUUGCUUAGAAGUUGUCUUCUGCCUUGAGGCAGGAUCGUUUAUGUCCAAAGCUACUUGAUUUGACUUUGUUCUUUCUUUGUUUUCAGUUCUUCAGGCUGUCAGUGUGAAUAAUAGAUCUUUGGUUCUGGAAUACAAUUCUCUAACAAAUAUCGGCUACUGUGGUAAAUUCUGGGGCUGCUGAGCUGCGGAAUAAAUCUUACCUCCAUUGAGUUUGAGGAUGGUGCCUUUGGAGAAGGUAGGGUGUGCUGGUACAGCACCUUCCUGUGGGUUCUCAGGUGGUAAUUCCUCCUUGAAAUUCUGCAUGUGCAGGACCAGACCAUCUUUCAGCCUGAGCAAUGAGCCUGAACUUCUCAUAAGCUCCACAUUUGGGAUUCUGCUGCCACUUGGUGGCAUCCACUCUCUCUUCCUGGCCCCAGGAAUCCCUCCUUGGCUUCCAAAGGGUAGCACUUGUGAGAAGAGAACAUCUGAGUUCUGCAGUGUAACUGCCCUCCAAGUUCCCAGGACCCAUUCUGGAACCACGAGGAGCUUUUCCAAGAUCAUCAUUUCCCGUUUGGAUCUACACAAAAGCAUCGCAGAUGCUGGCAAGAAUUCUGAGAGGAUCUCAGGUGCUUUAUGGGCAAUUUGUAAAUGAAAGAGUUUUACCAAAUCUGGCAACAGUGGAAGUAUUUUCACAAAGCAGACCAAGGUCUGUGUCUGUCUGCUUGUAACUCUGCUCUGCGGCGCUUGCAGUCUCAAGAGCAGGACCAGGUGGGAGAAGAAACUAUCUAGAUCGUUCCUCUUCUUCACAGAGACUGAAAAGCACAGUUGUCACAAGAGCUGGCGGCAAGCUAGACCUGCUUUGAACAUACUGUGAUCUAGUGAGCUGCGAGGUUUCCACACUGCAUUUCACUUCCUGAGGCCACGGGUUGCUUUGCCCUGGGUCAGCAGCCACAAGCUGCUCAGACAGGAUGGGAGGUGGCACGCUGUGUAGCAAACCCAGGGGAAUUGCUCCAGGUCCACCUUUCCUUUGAAGGCUGGGAGGCAGCAUGCUGUUCCCACCAUGCUGCGGAUGGCAGCAGCAGUGAGCAGGCUCAUGUGGCUGGGAAACAAGAGCUAUCCAGCACAGGGCAAAGCAAUGGGCCUGCUGAGCAGGUGACCUAAGUUGGGACACAUGCUUUGCAAAGGACUUCAGGGAACCUGGCCCAAACCAACAGUGAUCCUGCAGAUGAAACAACUGAUGUCUAAAGUUGACAGCAUUCCUACUCUCUUCCAUGUCAAGACAAAGUUGAAAUCCACCCAUCUCCUGCAAAGAUGGCGAGUUACCAAGGACCUUCUGCCCAUCCCAUCCUGGUCCCCUGCCAGGUGGCAAGAGCUGCACCUCUUUCCUCUUUGAGCUUCAUUCUGCUGCAGUUCUCCAGCAGCCAGAGUAAAGCAGGGCAGCACACUACGCUCUGCCUGGGGAGAGCAACACAAGAUGGGCACAGUGGCAUCAGGAGCAGCAAAGCAUGAGAAUAAGUACAACAAGGGGUGAUCUUUGAGGAGGGCGAGGGGUUGUCCAAAAGCAGAACAGGGAGAGGAAAAUGGGAUAAGGGUGUUGUGGGCAACAUAUAUUAGAAAAUUCUGUACCGUGGUGCAACUCUAUGUUGGCAGGACACUGCUGCCCAGAGGCACUUCAUACUCAGGCUUGCAGAGCAAGGAUUCAAGUCAGCAUCACUGCAGCAGGCUAAGAGGACGUCUUCAUGACACACACCAGAGCUGUCCCUUCUCCAACUGUUCCUCAGCUCCUUAGCUGUAGGGGAGGAAGGGAUGGCCAAAGAGGGGGGGCAAGGGGUUGUAAAUGAUGGGACAAAAUAAG